CCUACGGGUGGCAGCAGUGGGGAAUAUUGGACAAUGGGCGAAAGCCUGAUCCAGCCAUGCCGCGUGUGUGAAGAAGGCCUUCGGGUUGUAAAGCACUUUCAGUGGGGAAGAAAGCCUUGGGGCUAAUACCCUCGAGGAAGGACAUCACCCACAGAAUAAGCACCGGCUAACUCCGUGCCAGCAGCCGCGGUAAUACGGAGGGUGCGAGCGUUAAUCGGAAUUACUGGGCGUAAAGCGCGCGUAGGCGGUCUGAUAAGCCGGUUGUGAAAGCCCCGGGCUCAACCUGGGAACGGCAUCCGGAACUGUCAGGCUAGAGUGCAGGAGAGGAAGGUAGAAUUCCCGGUGUAGCGGUGAAAUGCGUAGAGAUCGGGAGGAAUACCAGUGGCGAAGGCGGCCUUCUGGACUGACACUGACGCUGAGGUGCGAAAGCGUGGGUAGCAAACAGGAUUAGAUACCCCUGUAGUC
rnacentral:rRNA from 1 species